AUCUGUGUGAUGCAUGUGUGUGCAACCGUGUUCAUGUAUGUGGUGCAUGUACCCAUGUGUGGAUCUGUUUCAUGAAUGUGAUGCAUGUGUGUCCACGUGUGCACCCGUGUUCGUGUGUGAUGCGUGUGUGUGCACACACAUCUCUGUGUGUAUUCCUAGCACUCAUAGCUGCCCUGGAUCCAUAUCCAGCUCUCGUGCCACUUCCUGUGUGACCUUGAGCAGCCAGCAGCCCCGUGGGUUAGCCCCCUGGGGAGACAUGGCCAGGUUGGGCAGGACGUGGGUGUAGGGCUUGUGAUGCCAACCCUGUGCCAGUCGGGAGGCCCAGGGCAUGGGGAUGGCCGGGCUACCCAGCGAGCUGUUGGCUGUGCUGGGACAGACCCCAGGCUCCCAGUGGCCCUGCUCUGAAGCGUGGCUCUGUCUCCCCACCUGGGGGCAGCCAGGUCCCCCUCCCCACCCCGCCGCAGGAGACUGGCCGUCCCUGCCAGCCUCGACGUUUGUGACAACUGGCUUCGGCCGGAGCCCCCUGGCCAGGAAGCCCGAGUGCAGAGCUGGAAGGAGGAGGAGAAGAAACCUCACCUUCAGGGCAAACCAGGUCAGCCCCAGAGACACCGCUGCUGUUUGGGGUGUACGUGAAGGGAGCCUUCCUCUGAGGAGGCAAUGCCUGCUGGGGCUUUGGAGGAUGCAUUCACAGGACCUAGAAUGGAGGGAAAGCCUGGAGGAAGGACCCAGCCCCGUGCCCCAGGCCCGCCCUCAUGAAUAGAGACCCUAGCUGUUUCAGAGUACCUUGUUACAGACUCAUGGUGAUGAUGGAAUGUCUGCUUCUGGCAGCUUGAGGGACUGGGGUGGCUGGGGUGUUGCUGACCUGGAGGAGGGCAGGGUGCAGGGUGGGGCUGGGCCUGGAGGCCACUCAGGUGUCUGUGGGGCUGGGUCAGGGCAGUCCAGUGGGCGUGUGGGGCAUUAGGGAGGCAGGGCUGGGGCCAGCUGUGCUGUGCUGAGGUCAGGCUCCUUCCAAGCUGUGUCCUGGUCACGUUGGGCCUGGUGGCCCAGGUCCCAGAGGCUCACCCUGCUCCUUCUCCAGGGAGACCCUUGUCCCCGGCCAAUGUCCCUGCUCUGCCUGGCGAGACGGUGACCUCCCCAGUCAGGGUGAGUAGUGGUGGGGAGCCGGGCAGGGGCCCAGCCCUCCGGCAUCCUCACCGCCCCUCCGUUCCCAGCUGCACCCCGACUACCUCUCCCCGGAGGAGAUACAGAGGCAGCUGCAGGACAUCGAGAGGCGGCUGGACGCCCUGGAGCUCCGCGGCGUGGAGCUGGAGAAGCGACUGCGGGCGGCCGAGGGAGGUGAGCGCCUCGGCCUGGCCCUGGGCCAGCCCGACUCCCACAGACACCCUCAGUCCUGGGGCUGGGGGCCAUGAACUCUGGCGGGCCCCCCUGCCCCAGCUGGCUCCUCUCCCCAGAUGACGCUGAGGAUAGCCUCAUGGUGGACUGGUUCUGGCUCAUUCACGAGAAGCAGCUUCUGCUGAGACAGGAGUCAGAGCUGAUGUACAAGUCCAAGGCCCAGCGUCUGGAGGAGCAGCAGCUGGACAUCGAGGGCGAGCUGCGCCGGCUCAUGGCCAAGCCCGGUGCGUCCCCCGCGCGCCAGCCAAGGGGCCCCAGCCAGGGAUGCCGCGGAGCCCAGGAUGUCUGGGGGCCGGCUCUGUGAGGCCACCUGACUGUCCUGGUGGUGAGACCUUCCCUGGAGCCAGGCGAGCCCACGUUUGAGUUUCAAAUCUCCCACCUCCUGGCUGUGUGUCCUCAGCCAAGGUACUUAACCUUGCUGUGCUUGGGUUUCAUCCUCUGCAAAGUGAGGAUGCUUGUAGCACCCACCUCACGCAGCUGUUGUGAGGAUUAAACGAAUCAAUUCGCACAAGGCAUUUAGUGUAGCAGCAGUCAGGGCGAGCCAUAGGCAUUUGUCUCGUGAUGCAGGGUGCCCUGGCUGAGGGCACAGGCCCAGGCCGUCUGCCUCUGCCCUUUCCUUGCUGUGCUGCAGGGACAGCGACGCCCUGAGCCUCAGUGUCCAUAUCUCUGCAGCGAGUGGUGUUUCUGCGAGAUGAUGGGGAAGGAUCCCAGCACACGGGCUCUGACGUGGCCGUUCCUUCCUUCAUUCACUUAUUCACUCAUUCAUUCUGCUCCGGAUCCCCCCAAGACCCCACCUUCUUCCUCCAAAAGAGGAGCCUGGCGCUUGGGUGGUGGGGACAUUGUGUCCUGUGAGGGGCAUGGCAGUGGUGGGGGGGGCUCCUGCUGACGAGCCAUCCCCACAGAGGCUCUGAAGUCACUGCAGGAGCGGCGGCGGGAGCAGGAGCUGCUGGAGCAGUACGUGAGCACCGUGAACGACCGCAGUGACAUCGUGGACUCGCUGGACGAGGACCGGCUCCGGUGUUUCCCCCCGGGCCGGCCUGCCGUGACGAUCACAGCCCUGCCGUCUCAGGUCACGGUUUUGGAUUCUGCGCUAACGAGGUCUCCCAGGUGGGCUGGAAACACUGAUGAAGACGGAUAGAAAAAACACCAGCCCACCGGAUUAUUAAUAAAGAUAAUCACACACACCCCUUCGUCGGCAGCCGGCCUGACACUUUAUAAAGCACGUUAGGAUAUAAUCCAAUUGAAACUGCAAUAUCGAGAACAUCUCAUCUUAUCACAAAUUGAAAUUAUAUCACAUUCCUCUUUUCUUAAAUUAAAAAGCUAAAACCUU
rnacentral:lncRNA from 1 species